GGGCGCGCCUCCUCUCCCCAAAGACAGUCGGCUCUCUCCACUACUGUCCUAAGCACGUGGCUGUUGAUCGCUCUGACACUUCACUGCCCUGCCUUCUUGGUCUGGGGUGACGCAGCGCCGACCUUCCCCACCCAGAACCUUCCUGUCUACCUCCCACCCAAACUAUCCAACGGAGGGAGAAAUCCCAGAGCUGUGACUUCUUCUGGGAGGAAUAGAAGGGUGCUCGAAGGAACACGGGAAAAUGUCAGUGACCUAACCGAUGGGAAGAGUGCCUUUCUCCGCCCGCCAGGCGACAGACUGCAGGGUGAGGGCAGCUGCACACAUCCCUGAGCGAAAGCCUGUCCCUUCCCAUUGAGGAGCAUCUAGGUUGUUUCGAGAUUCUGGAUCUUACAAAUAAUGCUGCUAUGAACAUAACUGAACAAAUGUCCUUGUAAUAUGAUUGAGCAUCCUUUCGGUAUAUGUCCAAGAGUGGUAUCACUGGGUCUUGAGAAGCAUAGAAACAUCACCCUUCACAAUAGCCACAAAUAACAUAAAAUAUCUUGGGGUAACACUAACCGAAGAAGUGAAAGAAAGACUUGUUCAUCAGGAACUUUAAGUCUUUGAAGAAAGAAACUGAAGAAGUUACCAGAAAAUGGAAAAGUCUUCUAUGCUCUUGGAUAGGUAGGAUCAACAUUGUAAAAAUUUCAAUCCUACCGAAAGCAAUUUAUAGAUUCAAUGCAAUCCCCAUAAAAAUUCAACACAAUUCUUCACAGACCUUGAAAGCACAAUACUCAACUUCAUAUGGAAAAACAAACAAAUCCUAUGAUAGCCAAAACAAUUCUGUACAAUAAAGGAACUUCAGGAGGCAUCACCAUCCCUAACAUCAAACUCUAUUACAGAGCUACAGUAAUGAAAACAUCCUGGUAUUGGCAUAAAAACAGAGAGGUUGACCAAUGGAAUUGAAUCGAAGACCCUGAUAUUAAUACACACACCUAUGAACACCUGAUUUUGACAACGAAGUUAAAAUGAUACAGUGGAAGAAAGAAAGCCCCAAUGUAUUAAAGACCUCAAUAUAAAUCUGAAUACACUGAACCUUAUAGAAGAGAAAGUGGGAAGUAGCCUUCAUUGCAUGGGUACAGGAAUUCACUUUAAAUAAACACCAAUAGCACAGACAUUGGGAGAAAAAAAUACAUAAAUGUG